rnacentral:rRNA from 1 species
GUCGCACGAGAAAGGGGCUUCGGUCCUGAGUAAAGUGGCGCACGGGUGAGUAACACGUGAAUGAUCUACCUCCGAGUGGGGAAUAACUGAGAGAAAUCUUAGCUAAUACCGCAUAACACUUACGAGUCAAAGCCGCAAGGCGCUUGGAGAGGAGUUCGCGGCCGAUUAGCUAGUUGGCGGGGUAAUGGCCCACCAAGGCGAUGAUCGGUAUCCGGCCUGAGAGGGCGCACGGACACACUGGAACUGAAACACGGUCCAGACUCCUACGGGAGGCAGCAGUGGGGAAUUUUGCGCAAUGGGGGAAACCCUGACGCAGCAACGCCGCGUGGAGGAUGAAGUAUCUUGGUACGUAAACUCCUUUCGAUGGGGAAGAUAAUGACGGUACCCAUAGAAGAAGCCCCGGCUAACUUCGUGCCAGCAGCCGCGGUAAUACGAGGGGGGCAAGCGUUGUUCGGAAUUAUUGGGCGUAAAGGGUGCGUAGGCGGUUUGAUAAGUCUGAUGUGAAAUCUAUGGGCUCAACCCAUAGUCUGCAUUAGAAACUGUC